rnacentral:rRNA from 1 species
AACGAACGCUGGCGGCAGGCUUAACACAUGCAAGUCGAGCGCCCCGCAAGGGGAGCGGCAGACGGGUGAGCAACGCGUGGGAAUCUACCCAUCUCUACGGAAUAACGCAUGGAAACGUGUGCUAAUACCGUAUACGUCCUUCGGGAGAAAGAUUUAUCGGAGAUGGAUGAGCCCGCGUUGGAUUAGCUAGUUGGUGGGGUAAAGGCCUACCAAGGCGACGAUCCAUAGCUGGUCUGAGAGGAUGAUCAGCCACACUGGGACUGAGACACGGCCCAGACUCCUACGGGAGGCAGCAGAGGGGAAUAUUGGACAAUGGGCGCAAGCCUGAUCCAGCCAUGCCGCGUGAGUGAUGAAGGCCCUAGGGUUGUAAAGCUCUUUCACCGGUGAAGAUAAUGACGGUAACCGGAGAAGAAGCCCCGGCUAACUUCGUGCCAGCAGCCGCAGUAAAAC